rnacentral:rRNA from 1 species
CAGUAGCCGCGGGAAUACAGAGGGUGCGAGCGUUAAUCGGAUUUACUGGGCGUAAAGCGUGCGUAGGCGGCUUCUUAAGUCGGAUGUGAAAUCCCUGAGCUUAACUUAGGAAUUGCAUUCGAUACUGGUUAGCUAGAGUGUGGGAGAGGAUGGUAGAAUUCCAGGUGUAGCGGUGAAAUGCGUAGAGAUCUGGAGGAAUACCGAUGGCGAAGGCAGCCAUCUGGCCUAACACUGACGCUGAGGUACGAAAGCAUGGGGAGCAAACAGGAUUAGAUACCCCGGUAGUCCCUGUCUCUUAUAC